GUUCCUCUUCUCAAAACACCCAAAUUCAUCCCAAAAAUCGCCAAAAUUUAGGCGAGUGAAACCUAAUCUCAAAACCACGCGUUCCAUCUUUGUCUCCUCUUGCCAUUUCUAACUGUUUCUGACAGUUUCCCUCUCUCUCACAUGCCAACUUAAUUUUUUGGAUUUUUUACUCUUUUAAAAUGGAUUUUGGGAAAAAUGGGAGGCAUUGGAUUGAGUAAUAUUGGAUCCACUCCCUUCAUUUUUCCGCUUUAUCCAUUAAAAAAUGCGUAAAAAUUGGAUUUAGAAUUUGGGGGAAAGUUAUUUUUAGAGGGAUUUCUUAGAGAUAAAGGCAGAAGCUUCGAGAAUCCUUGAAUGAUAUAAAAGAGGAGUUUCAGAGAAAUUUUGGAGAGGUAAAAAGUUUUAGGGUUAUAUGUUCUUUUUUAGAUUCUUCACGUUUGUAUUGCAUUUUAGAAAAACAAAAUAAAAAAAAUUAUUUGAGUUAUUUUUACUCGAGUUUUGUUUCAAAAGAAAUCAGACAACUAACAAAAGAUCUCAACAUUUAUUUUGGUUUUUUGUUCUCAUGAAUGUAGCUUGAUUGAAGUUUAAGUUUGAGUCUGUGUUUAGAUUUGGAAUUCUGGUUCUGAUUCGAGGUCCACUCGUGAAUUUCGGUCGCGUGUUGUGACGACCUGGCCCGUUAUCAUGUGAGUUACCACCCUAUUUUCCUUAUAUUCUAUUUCUCUAUGAUUCAUUAUCGGUAUUUGAGGUGAUUGAGUAGAAUUGGAUUGGUUUUCGAUGGAAAUGAGACACUUAGUCUCUUAAAGGGAAACUUAUUUUGGAAAAGUUAACCGGAAGUUGACUAUAUAGUUAGAGGGUUCGGAUGUGAAUUUGGGUGAUUUGGUUAGCUUUGGGAGAUGAUCUGUGACUUAGGAGUGCGAUCGAAAUUUAAUUUGGAGGUCCGGUGUAGAAUUAGGUUUGAAUUGGCGAAGUUUGAAUUUUGGCGAAUUGUGAUUGUUAGGUGAGAUUUUGAUCCAAGGAUCGGAAUGGCAUUUUGAGAGUUCCAGUAGCUUCGUUAAGUUAUUUUGGAUAGGGGUGCAAAGUUUGAGAUCAGUCGGAGGUGGUUAAUUCAGGUUUUUGAUCAAAUGUGCAAUUUGAAAGUUCUAAAGAAACUUAGGCUUGAAUCCGAUGUGAAAUGAUGGUUUUAGUGUUGUUUGAUGUGUUUUGAUGAUUGGAAUAAGUUCGUAUGAUGUUUUGGGAUAUGUUGGUGCAUUUGGUUGAGGUCCCGGGGGCCUCGGGGAGAUUUGGGAUGGUUAGACAUGAAGUUUGGACUUAGGAUUUAUUGAAGAAAUGCAGCAGCUGUUACAGGCCACUUUUGGCCUUCACGUUCGCGGAGGGGUCUUCGCGUUCACAUAGUGGUAUGUUGUGGGUCAUCGCCUACGCGUUAAUGGCCUCGAGUUUGCGUAGAAGGUCCUGGGGGGUCCUGCCUAGUUUGUUCGGUGUAUUCGCGAUGUGGGAGUCGCGUUUGCGUAAGAGGAGGUCCUUAUGCAUCGUGUUCGCGCAUGGAGUAUCGCGUUCGCAUGGUAUCGGCAGUUAAAAGAUUGCUUUCGUGUUUGGAGUGCCGUGUUCCCGAAGUGUUAAAAUUGUCGGAGAAUUUCUUUUGCAUCGCGAACGCGAGGGGGGGGAGGGUCUCGCGUUCGCAUAGAAAGAAAUCUGGGCGUCCAGAGGGGAUUUUAUAUUAUUUCAUCCACGACCCAUUUGUUAUUUUCUCCAUUUUUGAACCACUUUGAGAGCUUUUGGGUAGAAGUUGAAGAGGGUCUCGACGGGAUAUGAUUGGAGGUAAGUCUCGUGACCUAGAAAUGUUUUUUUUAUAGUGGAAUCAACAUUUAAUUCUUGGAAAAUUGGGUGAAAAUUGACGAACUAGGGCUUCGGUUUUGAAAUGAAAAUUUGGGAUUUGAGGGAGUAUUUGAACCCCGAUUUUGGUAAAUUUGAUAUGUAUAGACUCGUGGCGAGACGAGGAGUCCGAUGAUAUGAAUUUUGUAAUUUUUUGAGAAGUGGGCCUGGGCUCGGGUUUUGCCAACUUCGUGAUUUUUGGUGUUUUUCUAGUCUUGUCGAUUGGGUUAUGUUUCUUUGGCAGUUUGUAAUGUCUUCAUUGUGGUUUUAGCCAGAUUCAACGCGCGAGGAGGUCGAUACGAGAGGAAAGGGCAUUGCUAGCUAGUCUUCGGCCGGCUAGAGGUGAGUAAUAGAUAUAGAUGAUGACCUGAGAGUUUGAAACCCCGGUAUAUCACACUCUAAGAUUAUAUUAAGGCGAGACACGCACUCCGUGACAAGUGCGGGGUAGUUUGUGAUCGGGGAUUAUGGUUUUGUCCGCCCCGAGUGGUGUCCAAGCUGUGAUUUGCACUAUAGACUGAUUAGCAAACAUCCUACUUGGAUUGUUAUGAUAUAUUUGGGCUGUGUGCCAACUAUUUGAAUCCCCUAGGGAUUAUAGUCACUGCUUCUAGGAUGAUUGGCAUGCUAUAUGAUUUCAGUCUUGAGUUUAAACACUUUUUCGAGAUACUUAGUCACAUACCGGAGGUUUUAAAGACUUAAACAAUAAUUUCCUAAUAAUUGAAACUGAGAAUUAAAAUAUAAUUUUACUCUAUAACUCAUAUGCAUAUUCUGGACUGAGUGUUGAUCGAGCGGCAUGCCACAUCGAUGAUACGAUGAAAUUGCGCUUGGGCUGUAGGAGCCUUUCCGGAGUCUGAACCCCCACAGUGAGCGUGGGUACCCAAAUGGAUCGGGCUGUACGCUGCAGUGGUCAUUUGCAUUGCAUUGCAUUCAUUCUUUGAUGUUAUCUGACUUAUUUGAUUCUGUCUUGUUGCCAUUUUAACGUUAAUUGUGCUAAAUGAUUAGUUUUAGCUUUACAUUGUGGUACUUUCGAGAUUUCUUACUUUCAGUCAUUAUAUAUGUCUAUUACCACUGAGUUGGAAAUACUCAUUUUACACCCUACACCAUGUGUGUAGAUUCACGUGUUUCGGGAGCUUAGUCGAGCUGUUUGCUGCUUCCAGAGCUUUGAGGAGUUGUCGAGGUAGCUGCUUGACGUGCGAAGAACCCGACUCCUCCCCUCAUCCCUUUUAUCUUUCCGCAUUCUAGAAAUCUGUAUUACAUGAGAAUUUGCUACUUUUUUAUCUUAGAGUCUCUAGACUCAUGACCCCAGGUCUUUGGGAGAUGUUGGCUAUGUUAGUGUUCCAGACUAUUUCUAUUUAAUUUUAUUUGGCUAAUAAACAUGACAAGAUGCUAAUUUCAUGUGUUUACUCGGUAAUGGGAUUUAUGAGUAUUGAUUGGUCGGGCUUGUGUAGCAAUUGUGUUGGGCACCAUCACGACCGGGAUUGGGGUCGUCACAAGUUUGUGUCAGAACCUAGGUUACUAGGUAUCAUGAGUCUUGAGCCGGUUAGUAGAGUCCCGCGGAUCGAUACAGAGAUGUCUGUAUUUAUCCUCAAGAGGCUGCAGAACCUUUAGGAAACACUUCAUAUUCUUGAACUCUUGUCGUGCGGUUUUGUUGAUCCGAGAACUAAACUUUUGUAUUCUAUUCUCUCGCAGAUGGCGAGAACCCGUGCUAUCAGAUAUGACGGACGACCACUAUUGCCACCCGCUAGA
rnacentral:lncRNA from 1 species